CCUACGGGUGGCAGCAGUGGGGAAUAUUGCGCAAUGGGCGAAAGCCUGACGCAGCGACGCCGCGUGAGGGAUGAAGGUCUUCGGAUCGUAAACCUCUGUCAGCAGGGAAGAACGGUCACGGUGCUAAGCAGCAGUGAAUUGACGGUACCUGCAAAGGAAGCACCGGCUAACUCCGUGCCAGCAGCCGCGGUAAUACGGAGGGUGCGAGCGUUAAUCGGCAUUACUGGGCGUAAAGCGCGCGUAGGCGGUAUGUCAAGUCAAGGGUGAAAUCCCCGCGCUCAACGUGGGAACUGCCUUUGAAACUGGCAAACUUGAGUGUGUGAGAGGUUAGUGGAAUUCCUGGUGUAGGCGUGAAAUCCGUAGAUAUCUGGAGGAACAUCAGUGGCGAAGGCGACUUUCUGGCCCAUAACUGACGCUGAGGCUCGAAAGCGUGGGUAGCAAACAGGAUUAGAUACCCUAGUAGUC
rnacentral:rRNA from 1 species